rnacentral:rRNA from 1 species
UACGUAGGUGGCAAGCGUUGUCCGGAGUUACUGGGCGUAAAGCGCACGCAGGCGGUCUCUUAAGUUUGGAGUGACAGUUGGUGGCUUAACUGCCAAAGUGCUUCGAAAACUGAGAGACUUGAGGGCUUCAGAGGGACACGGAAUUCCGGGUGGAGUGGUGAAAUGCGUAGAGAUCCGGAGGAACACCAAAGGCGAAGGCAGUGUCCUGGGGAGUACCUGACGCUCAGGUGCGAAAGCCAGGGGAGCGAACGGG